UACGUAGGGUGCAAGCGUUAAUCGGAAUUACUGGGCGUAAAGCGUGCGCAGGCGGCGCCGCAAGUCAGGCGUGAAAUCCCCGAGCUCAACUUGGGAAUUGCGCUUGAAACUACGGUGCUGGAGUAUGGCAGAGGGAGGUGGAAUUCCACGUGUAGCGGUGAAAUGCGUAGAGAUGUGGAGGAACACCGAUGGCGAAGGGCAGCCUCCUGGGCCAAUACUGACGCUCAGUGCACGAAAGCGUGGGGAGC
rnacentral:rRNA from 1 species